rnacentral:rRNA from 1 species
AACGGAGGGUGCAAGCGUUGUUCGGAAUUACUGGGCGUAAAGCGCGUGCAGGUGGUUUUUUAAGUUCUGUGUGAAAUCCCUCGGCUCAACCGAGGAACGGCGCAGAAUACUGAAGAACUUGAAUACGGGAGAAGUGGGCGGAAUUCCCAGUGUAGAGGUGAAAUUCGUAGAUAUUGGGAGGAACACCGGUGGCGAAAGCGGCUCACUAGACCGAUAUUGACGCUCAUACGCGAGAGCAUGGGUAGCAAACAGG